rnacentral:lncRNA from 1 species
GUCUAUGGAAAGAAAUGUUCCAAAUGUGACAAUCAGCUCAUUUUUGAUGGCAGUGAAUCCUGCAUUUUGAACAUGGAAUCAUUUCUUGUACAUCAUAGUGUAUUGCGUGAUUACAUGCUUCAUUUCUUACAUGCAAGGUAUUUUUAAUGAGUUUUAAAUACCUAUGUUUAAAAUUAUGGCUAUAUGUAGAUUACUGUAUGGUUUUUGAUUCUUCAUAUAUAGUCUGUACAAGUGAAUCCUGAAAUAACUUGAUAAAAUCUUUUCUCAAUUGAAGUCAAAAUGCAUUGUCUUUGCACUGUUGUUUAUGAUAUUUAUUAAUUUUUUUUCAAAUUACCACAAGGUUUCUUUUUGUCAAUAUUUCAAUUUGAGUCCAUUUAAGAAAUUAUUCUCACUUUUUCAUAUUUUUUCAUGUUUUAUCUGAUAAAUGGACUAAGUUUAUUUACAGUUAAUAUCAAGUAGAUUCAUUGUUAGGUUCAAGUUUGUUACACAUUAUUUACUUAGUCAAAUCUUUAUACAAUUUUAUGAAACUUUUUUAAGAGUAAUGAGAGACAAAGUAAUAAACGAAGUUUAAAAUAUUUUACUAAUAAAUGAACUCACUUUACUUUACAAGACUCGAAAAAAACUUACAUUUUUUUUCAACUAUUGACACUAUUUGUACUGCCUACUGAUGAGUCCCAAGUACAAAUGGUUAUUUAUUCAUAUGGAUGUAAAGGGACGAAACUCAGAAGGCCUAAAGCGACUAUUAAUUGCAAUUGUUUGGUAAUAUCUGAUUAUAUAUAUAUAUAAAGGAUAUAAAAUUUUACUAAAUUUUAUUUGAAAUUUGUUCAAAUUUUCUUUUACAUUUUAACAACCAGGCCUUGAGAGUCUAGGCAGAAAAUAUGUUCAGGGAUUUAAUUAAGAUACUAGUACACUAAAAAGUAUUUGUACUGUACACAGAAAAGUUAUGUAUUGUUAUCAAUUUACCUUUGUUCUAAAAAAAAAAACAUAAGUUUUAAAAUCCCACCACAAAACCACUUUUCAAUUGAAACUUAUUAAACUGGACAUGAUUCUUGAAAGAAUGGUACUUUAAAUAUCUGAAAUCUUUUGUUAGAAAUUUUAUUAACAAUUAGAACUUUUCAUGCAUUUGAUUACUGGCAGACACUAACUGAUACAUAUUUGCCAGCCCUGCUGCUUAAAUAAAUUGACGACAGAAGGGUUUUUUUUUAUGGGGAAGGGGGGAGAGAAAAUGAGUUCAAGUGAAUUGAUUUAGAGGCUAGAAUACAUCUUGAUGGCAUGUAUUAGAGUGGUAUAAAAGUGAAUAGGGCUCAAUUUCUUAAUAAAUGCACUACAGUCUUCAAUUUUGUUAAUGUAACUAGUAAGCGAAGUAAGCUGUUAACAGGGUGUAUUUUAGUAAAAUAUUGUCCGUCGUCAACAUGUCGGAUAUUAACUCAAAAACACUUUAACCAAUUUGCAUAAAACUUUGAGAAGUACUUGAAACAAGGAGUUAUUUGAAUCUGGAAUGAUUUUGAAUUCUGGAAAAUUGAUUGGAAAUGUAUAAUGAAAAACUUAACCAACUAAAUAGGGUAAGCCAUGUAUGCAUGGCUAAGGUUAAUUUUACUUUCACUAUCAUUUCAGUAUGAACAAACUAAACCCUGUUUGCCAUGUGUGCAUGGCUAACCCUUUUUAGUUCGAUUAGUUUCCAUCAUACAUUUCUCCUCAAUUUUCCAGAAUUAAAAUUUAUUCCAAUACCAAAUAAUUCCUUGUUUUGAACUUUAUUCUUUGAAAUUGUGACAGGCAUAUUAUGCUCUCAUGGUGCAACUGUUUAUUUGUUUUAUUCCAUAGGUGUACCAUGUAUGCAUAUUACAAGGUAUGGUCUGACCAUAUGAAGCAAAUGGGAUAUAAAGAUUUUGAAAAGAUGAUGACUUACUGCAAGUUUAGGCAUUCCUGGUAUGCCUUUCUUAGUCUUUUAAAUAUUGACUAUAACCUUGGCUUCCAAUGCACAGAAUGUGGGGACACUCCUGAUACUAUAGUUUGUGAUGCUACAUCAUUGUCCUUCCGCAAAACAUUUGUGAAGUGGGAAUCUCAACCAAAUGACUGUACUAUUUUCAGUCCUUUAUGUCAAUCCACAGGAAUAAAAGAAAAUUCAUGCUUAUACCAAUCAUAUACAUAUUUGAACUUUUGCAACACUUAGGAUUAAACCUUUUAAAAGUUUGCAAAAACAAGGAUUAAUAUGAAAAAAAUGGAGAUGAGGUACAAUUGCCAAUGAGACAACUAUCAACCAGAGUUCAAAUAAAGUGAUUGUAUGCAUUUAUAAUUACAAUUUUGAAAGGUUGAACAGAAAUUAAUUUGUUUAUUGUUAUUUCAGUAAAAUUUCCAUGCUGAUAAAUGUAUGGAUAUCAGAAUGCUAGUUCUUGUAACCAGCUGGUAUUAUAAAGAAUCAACAAGGAUCUUUAGAUGAAUAAGUUUAAUCCUAUUAAAAAGUUAAUAUACAUGUACAACAGAAAAAACAAUGCCACCCAUAACAGAUGGAGGGUCAAAUUUUUAGAAUAUAUUUUCAUAACAAUUUUCUAUAUUAUUCAUAAUGCUUCAAUUCUAUUUAUACUAGUUACAAGGACAGAGUAGUCAUCAACCAUAAAAAAACAAGAGACCUGGUGCAAAAAUUCAGCAAGGGAGAGGAAAUCCAAAACUUUGAAUUUAGUGAAAUCAUUACUGGGCUGAAGAAAACAUUUGCACCUGCUUUACCAUUGUUUGAAAUGCUGAAAAGUCUAGGAUGCUGUCAAGUUUGUCCAAUAGAACAUAGACUUAUUAUGAAUCUAAUAUCCAGCUCAUCGCCUGCUUGUGCUCUGAUACCAGUAGAUGAAAAAAAAAAAUUAAAUGAUGUACUGGAUAUCUCAGACGACCCAGCAAGUUAUCCAGAAAUGAUGGAAUUUUUACAAAUCAAAGUACCAUUAUUGUUUGAUAUUUUAAAAGAAUCGGGACCUAUACCAUCUAACUAUAAAUUAAUAUUUCGUGGAAUAUAUGAAAAAUCAGUUAACACCUUUUCCAAGUCCUUAUCUACAGAUGAUGGCCAAUUAUAAUUCUCUGUAGAUAAUACAUGCUAUUUUCCAGCUUUGAAGAAAAUAAGGACAAGAGGGAAUUUCAAGGCAGAUAGAUCAAAAGUGUUAAAAGACGAGUGCAAGAAAGAGGCAACAAGGCAUCCUACACUUUUGCCUGGGAUAUUUACUGCUUUUUGUAAACACGGUAAUACAUAUUUUUCAAAUAUUUCCUUUCAGGUGCUCUGCAUUUAAUAUCCCUUUCCUCCAUGGAUUUUGUUCUCUCACAUACUUGAUUCGCAUAGGAUUUUUUCAAUAAAAAAAAACAUAAGGUUUAAAGUUAUAAUGCAUUGUGAAAAAAACGAAUAUUUCAUCAAUGAAAUUCAAGUCAGAUAUUCCCAUGAAUAUCCUUUUCAUAUUGGAAACAAACUUUUUUAAGUCUGAUGCAGACAUUUCGUAGUCAAAGUGUUUCAACUGAGGUACUAUACAGGCGUCAAAAGGCGUCAUUGUAAUGUCUGUGGUUACUGUAUGUGUUGUGUGUGGUUAUUAGUUACUGUCUGUAUGUAAUGUCUGUGGUUAUAAGAUACUACCUGUAUGUGUUGUGUGUGGUUAUUAGUUACUGUCUGUAUGUACUGUGUGUGGUUAUUAGAUACUGUCUGUAUGAACUGUUUUUGGUUAUAAGAUACUGUCUGUAUGUGUUGUGUGUGGUUAUUAAAUACUGUCUGUUUGUUUUGUAUAUGGUUAUUAGAUACUGUCUGUAUAUAUGUACUGUGUGUAUAAAAAAGGAGAUGUGGUGUGAUUGCCAAUGGGACAACUCUCUGCAAUAGACCAAACAAUCCAGAAAUUAACAACUUUAGGUCUCUGUUAAUGACAAUGUAAAACAAUUCUAAGAAAAAGACCUAAUCUAUGUAUAAAUAACAAAAAAGUAACACUUAUCAUGACUUAAAAAAACGACAACCACUGAAUUACAGGCUUCUGAAUUAAAUAUUGUUAAAAAAAUUAUUGAAAAUAGAUUUUUUUUUCUUUUCAGGUAUUUGUUAUGGAUUCCAAAUAAUGGAGUGCAAUGAAUCUCCUAAUGUUCCUUUCACAUUUCUUCGUACCAGAUUUAAGAAAGGUACCUAUUUUCAAUGCUUUAUAUAUACAUAUAUGUUAUACCUUGAUUUUUAUGCCCACCUAUAUACGAUAGUAGGGCCCUGGGGGGCAUUAUGUUUUCUGGCCUGUGGGUCUGUUCAUAUGUCCAUCUAUCUGUCCUGCUUCAGGUUGAAGUUUUUGGUCGUGGUAGUUUUUGAGUAAGUUGAAGUCCAAUCAACUUGAAACUUAGUGCACAUGUUCACUACGAUAAAAUCUUUUUAAUCUAAAUGCCAAAUUAGAUUUUUGAUCCCAAUUUCAUGGUUCACUGAACAUAGUAAGUGAUAGUGUGAGUUAUAUAUAUACAUUAUUGUAUACCAUGGUCACAUUCUUGUCUUAGUUCUACAGUUCUACAUAUAUAAUAUCUAAAAACAAAUCAUUUAUUAUAAUUACUCUCUUUUUAGAUAGACAAUAUGUAAUGAAGCACAAUGAAAAGAUAUCUAUAGCCUGUUUCAGAAGCUAUUUUUUUAUCCUACCAAGUGUUUCAUACAUAGGAGUGAUUUACAUAAAUUUAUUCUUUUUUUAGCACCAACUACUGUCAUCUAUGACAAUGCUUGCAAUCUGCAUUCAUACUGCCUAAACAGAGAUCCUGAUUUUUUUAAAGACACACUGUUUGUUGUGGACAAUUUGCACUGGGGAAAUCAUACCAGUAAGUUUUAUUUUUUACAAAUUUAUGAUUUAUAGCAAGUUAAGAAUAAAGAAGACAUAAUUUUUGUGGCUUGAAUUUGUAUUGAUUUUAACACGGAUGGGCCUUUUAUGCUAAAUAUUUUACUAUGAGGGGUAAAAUAUAGGCAUAACGGGCUGUUUAUCAAAUAUACAUACAACACCUGUACUGGUAAUCUUUUUACUGGUCAUUAAAAGAUUUGACAAAUUCUGAUGCAUAAACUAUAUAUUUGUCAAAUUUACUAUCAAAUACAUCAACCUUUUUGUUUGCAUCUUAGUUAGAUUUUUUUUCUAUUUUUGUUUAGAUUUUUUAGGCAGUGCUAUAUUGCUGAAAUAUGUUUCAAUUUGAUAAAUAUUUAAAUGACAACAAUAUUUUUAAAAUGCAAAUAACAAAUACAAAAGAAUAAUUAAGCUGUACAUCAUGUUUUCUUUUAUUUAAUAUUUUUUUAUAUUUCAGAGCAGCAAGGAAACAGCUGUAGUGUAAAAUGUAAAAACAAAUUGUAGUUUAUUUUUUCUCUGUGACUAGGUAUAUCAUUUACUAUUUAAAAAACUUAAUUGCAUUUCUCCUCAUUGCAGGUUGUUCCAGAGUUUAUGAGGCAAAAUUUCAUCCAGAGUUAAGCAAGGUGAACACACAGAUGGUCGAGCAAAACAAUGCUAAAUUAAGAAAACUGAAGAGUAAUUUGUCUUAUAUGAAUUAUGAUAAUUUUAUGAGCCAUUUGAAAUUUUUUCUGUGGUAUUGUAAUAUGGAGCACAUGUUGUUUAAAAUCUAGUUACACACACUAUCAAAUAAUUAUAUUUUGUUCAACCCAAUUGAUUACAGAGAUCAAAACAUUACUUUUGAUGCAAAGAUUAUUGAUCCCCUUUUGAUUAAAUUUUUGACUAUUUGGACUUGGAGAGUAGAAUAAUCCUGCAAAAUAUCCUAGGAAAAUAAAGGGUGUUAAGAAAAGAUUCCAAAAUUGUCAGGAGUGCAACACUUUUUCUUAGACAUUUUUUUAAGACACAUCAACUUGUAAUAUGAUGAUAUGUGCCAUUGAUUCUUAUUUUUAUUACAACUAGAUUUUAGCUUGUUCAUUAAACCAUUUUGAUACCGAUGUGUUUUGAACAAAAGUAUUGUCCUGUCUGGGGUAAUACAAAAAUUAGUACAAAUGAGGAAAAGAAUGAUAUUUUAUGGCCCCUCAACAAAGUUAGUAUAUGAAUCACAUCUUAACAUAAGCAAAAGUCAAUCCUGUAUAAAAUAUAUGUCCUUACCAGAAUUAAUACUUUAUUAACGUAAUUAUUGUUGUAAAUGAUAUGUGAUAGUCAAGUAUAUAAGGCCUUCCUAUAAGUGUCAGGACUGCAACUUUGAAGUUAAAAACUGGCACUUACUGAAUAAAAAGUCAAAUUAUAUAAUAUAAUAUUGUUCUGUUUUAUUUGUCAAAAUAUACUAUACUAGAUACAAGAUACAAGAUUGCAC